ACUUAAAUAGCUUAUAUAGAGCGUGGUAUUGAAGAUACCAAGGAGAUGUGACAUUUUUAAGUA
rnacentral:tRNA from 1 species